rnacentral:rRNA from 1 species
GAUGAACGCUGGCGGCGUGCCUAAUACAUGCAAGUCGAGCGAACGGAUGAGAAGCUUGCUUCUCUGAUGUUAGCGGCGGACGGGUGAGUAACACGUGGAUAACCUACCUAUAAGACUGGGAUAACUUCGGGAAACCGGAGCUAAUACCGGAUAAUAUUUUGAACCGCAUGAUUCAAAAGUGAAAGACGGUCUUGCUUUCACUUAUAGAUGGAUCCGCGCUGCAUUAGCUAGUUGGUAAGGUAACGGCUUACCAAGGCAACGAUGCAUAGCCGACCUGAGAGGGUGAUCGGCCACACUGGAACUGAGACACGGUCCAGACUCCUACGGGAGGCAGCAGUAGGGAAUCUUCCGCAAUGGGCGAAAGCCUGACGGAGCAACGCCGCGUGAGUGAUGAAGGUCUUCGGAUCGUAAAACUCUGUUAUUAGGGAAGAACAUAUGUGUAAGUAACUGUGCACAUCUUGACGGUACCUAAUCAGAAAGCCACGGCUAACUACGUG